AUUGAACGCUGGCGGAAUGCUUUACACAUGCAAGUCGAACGGCAGCACGGACUUCGGUCUGGUGGCGAGUGGCGAGCGGGUGAGUAAUGUAUCGGAACGUGCCCAGUCGUGGGGGAUAACGUAGUGAAAAUUACGCUAAUACCGCAUACGAUCUAUGGAUGAAAGCGGGGGAUCGCAAGACCUCGCGCGAUUGGAGCGGCCGAUAUCAGAUUAGGUAGUUGGUGGGGUAAAGGCCCACCAAGCCAACGAUCUGUAGCUGGUCUGAGAGGACGACCAGCCACACUGGAACUGAGACACGGGCAAGACUCCGACGGGAGGCAGCAGUGGGGAAUUUUGGAAAAGGGGCGAAAGACGGAGACAGCCAUGCCGCGGGCAGGAUGAAGGCCCUCGGGUUGGAGACUGCUUUUGUACAGAACGAAAAGGUUUCUACUAAUACUAGGAGCUCAUGACGGUACUGUGAGAAUAAGCACCGGCUAACUACGUGCCAGCCGCCGCAGUAA
rnacentral:rRNA from 1 species